rnacentral:rRNA from 1 species
CCCUUAGAUGUUCUGGGCCGCACGCGUGCUACACUGAGUAAUUCAAUGGGUAAGGGAACGCUAGAGCAUUACCUAAUCUUGAAAUUUGCUCGUGAUGGGGAUCGACGGUUGCAAUUUUCCGUCGUGAACGAGGAAUACCUUGUAGGCGCAUGUCAUCAUCAUGCGCCGAAUACGUCCCUGCCCUUUGUACACACCGCUCGUCGCUCCUACCGAUUGAGUGAUCCGGUGAGGCUCUGGGACCUGGACGGAAAGAGCGUUUCGCUUGUUCUGUUUGGGAAACUUGGUCGAACCUUAUCAUUUAGAGGAAGGAGAAGUCGUAACA